rnacentral:rRNA from 1 species
CGGCGGACGGGUGAGUAAUGCCUAGGUAUCUGCCCAGUCGAGGGGGAUAACAGUUGGAAACGACUGCUAAUACCGCAUACGCCCUACGGGGGAAAGGAGGGGACCUUCGGGCCUUCCGCGAUUGGAUGAACCUAGGUGGGAUUAGCUAGUUGGUGAGGUAAUGGCUCACCAAGGCGACGAUCCCUAGCUGGUCUGAGAGGAUGAUCAGCCACACUGGAACUGAGACACGGUCCAG